rnacentral:rRNA from 1 species
GAUGAACGCUGGCGGCGUGCCUAAUACAUGCAAGUCGAGCGAACAGACGAGGAGCUUGCUCCUUUGACGUUAGCGGCGGACGGGUGAGUAACACGUGGGUAACCUACCUAUAAGACUGGGAUAACUUCGGGAAACCGGAGCUAAUACCGGAUAAUAUUUCGAACCGCAUGGUUCGAUAGUGAAAGAUGGCUUUGCUAUCACUUAUAGAUGGACCUGCGCCGUAUUAGCUAGUUGGUAAGGUAGCGGCUUACCAAGGCAACGAUACGUAGCCGACCUGAGAGGGUGAUCGGCCACACUGGAACUGAGACACGGUCCAGACUCCUACGGGAGGCAGCAGUAGGGAAUCUUCCGCAAUGGGCGAAAGCCUGACGGAGCAACGCCGCGUGAGUGAUGAAGGUCUUCGGAUCGUAAAACUCUGUUAUUAGGGAAGAACAAACGUGUAAGUAACUGUGCACGUCUUGACGGUACCUAAUCAGAAAGCCACGGCUAACUACG